rnacentral:rRNA from 1 species
UUUGAUGAGAUCUUCGGAUGGAUUUAAAACAGCUUAGUGGCGGACGGGUGAGUAACGCGUGGGUAACCUGCCUCGUACUGGGGGAUAACAGUUGGAAACAGCUGCUAAUACCGCAUAAGCUCACAGAGCCGCAUGGCUCAGAGAGAAAAACUCCGGUGGUACGAGAUGGACCCGCGUCUGAUUAGCUGGUUGGCGGGGUAACGGCCCACCAAGACUACGAUGGAUAGGGGUUCUGAGAGGAAGGUCCCCCACAUUGGAACUGAGACACGGUCCAAACUCC